AUUUUAUCUGAUCCAACUGUUUUUUCUCCUUUUAUCGCACUAGAUUUUUUCUCACUCUAAAACCUCUGGAAGUCUCCAUCUUCCUCUUCACCCUCAAUUCGUGUCUCCGGAAGUGUCCAUCUUCGUUUUCACCCUUGAGUGUUUGGAAAGUAAAGUUGCUUUAGGGGCACAGAGGAACACUGUUGUGACUUAAAGGGGAUAUAAAAUGACACAGCGACUUGAUAUAUAUGCAACCACUCCUGAAAUACCAGACUGGACCUGUAAAGUGCAAGUUGCGGAUAUAUGCAAACCAAGAGAGUUCUCACCGAAAGAUAAAAUAUUUAAACAUGAUCUUUCAAGAUGAACAGCUAUGCAGCAUGUGGUUUUCCACAGCAACAUCAAUGCUGAAAUACCAGAAGCUUACUAGGAGGGAUUUGAGAAUUGAGGAUAAUCCAGCUUUAGCUGCUGCUGCUGCUAGAAAUGGAAGUAUUUUACCAGUGGUUAUUUGGUGUCCUAAAGAAGAAGUGAAUCUCUAAUUCACUUGGAACAGUCUUUGAAAUCUCUUGGAGCUGAACUUUGCUGAUAAAAGCUCAGAGUACACUGUCUGCUCUCUUGGAGUGCGUGGAUGCUGUUGGAGCAACAAAAGUUGUGUGUAAUCAUCUAUAUGAUCCUGUUUCACUUGUUCGUGACCACAAUAUCAAGCACAAGCUGGGAGAACUUGGCAUUAUCUGUUCAGAGCUACAAUGGGGACUUACUGAAUGAACCAUGGGAAUUCAUCUCUCUCAUUGACAGGAUCAGUUAAAAUGUGUUCGAUUGAGGAACUGGGACUGGAAAACAGCUCUGUUGCAGUGUGAAAAAGUGCAUUAACUUCAGUCUUUUUAAUUUGGAGCUGUGGACUGUUUCAUAGGAAGCUUUCACUAAAACGUUUUCAUCUUUCUGCCUUUUGCAAACCUAUUUUUACUACCUAUAUUCUUUGUCAUUUUCCUGAAGGUAAUUUUAUGUAGAGUUUUUGGACUCAGAGAAUCCAAAAAUGCUUUGAUAGAACAAAGCACAACACCUGCCGCUGUUAAGUCGUAAAUGUAUUCAGAACUUAAAAAGUAUAGUAUAAUGCUGAUUUUUUCUAUUGA